CAUAAAGUAGAAAGCACUACUAACAGCAAUGGAGGGUGUAGUGUUUCCUACUUUAUGGA
rnacentral:pre_miRNA from 2 species